UACGGAGGAGGCAAGCGUUAUCCGGAAUUAUUGGGCGUAAAGCGUCCGCAGGUGGCACUUCAAGUCUGUCGUCAAAGACUGGGGCUUAACCCUGGAAAGGCGGUGGAAACUGAAGCGCUAGAGUGCGGUAGGGGUAGAGGGAAUUCCCGGUGUAGCGGUGAAAUGCGUAGAGAUCGGGAAGAACAUCGGUGGCGAAAGCGGUCUACUGGACCGCAACUGACACUCAGGGACGAAAGCUAGGGGAGCGAAUGGG
rnacentral:rRNA from 1 species